rnacentral:rRNA from 1 species
GACGAACGCUGGCGGCGUGCUUAACACAUGCAAGUCGAACGGAAAGGCCCUGCUUGCAGGGUACUCGAGUGGCGAACGGGUGAGUAACACGUGGGUGAUCUGCCCUGCACUUCGGGAUAAGCUUGGGAAACUGGGUCUAAUACCGGAUAGGAGCCAUCUUUAGUGUGGUGGUUGGAAAGUUUUUUCGGUGUAGGAUGAGCUCGCGGCCUAUCAGCUUGUUUGUGGGGUAAUGGCCUACCAAGGCGGCGACGGGUAGCCGGCCUGAGAGGGUGUACGGCCACAUUGGGACUGAGAUACGGCCCAGACUCCGACGGGAGGCAGCAGUGGGGAAGAUUGAACAAUGGGCGCAAGCCUGAUGCAGAGACGCCGCGUGGGGGAUGAAGGCCUUCGGGUUGUAAACUCCUUUCGCUAGGGACGAAGCUUUUUGUGACGGUACCUAGAUAAGAAGCACCGGCUAACUACGUG